UACGUAGGUGGCAAGCGUUGUCCGGAUUUACUGGGCGUAAAGGGCGCGCAGGCGGCUCAUCAAGUCUGGGGUGAAAUCUCCCGGCUCAACCUGGAGGGGUCUCUGGUUACUGAUGGGCUUGAGGAAAGCAGAGGAAAGCGGAAUUCCAGGUGUAGCGGUGAAAUGCGUAGAGAUCUGGAGGAACACCAGUGGCGAAGGCGGCUUUCUGGGCCUGUACUGACGCUGAUGCCCGAAAGCGUGGGGAGCAAACAGG
rnacentral:rRNA from 1 species